rfam:Dipodomys ordii contig_29009, whole genome shotgun sequence.
GGUGGCUCAGUGGUAGAGUGCUUGUCUUGCAUGCAUGAGGCCCUGGGUUCGAUUCCUCAGUACCA